AGUGAACGCUGGCGGCAGGCCUAAUACAUGCAAGUCGAACGGCAGCACAGCAGAGCUUGCUCUGUGGGUGGCGAGUGGCGGACGGGUGAGGAAUACAUGGGAAUCUGCCCAGUCGUGGGGGAUAACGUAGGGAAACUUACGCUAAUACCGCAUGCGCCCUUCGGGGAAAGCCGGGGACCUUCGGGCCUGGCGCGAUUGGAUGAGCCCAUGUCGGAUUAGCUAGUUGGCGGGGUAAUGGCCCACCAAGGCGACGAUCCGUAGCUGGUCUGAGAGGAUGAUCAGCCACACUGGAACUGAGACACGGUCCAGACUCCUACGGGAGGCAGCAGUAGGGAAUAUUGGACAAUGGGCGCAAGCCUGAUCCAGCCAUGCCGCGUGAGUGAAGAAGGCCCUCGGGUUGUAAAGCUCUUUUGUCCGGAAAGAAAAGCGCCGGGUUAAUACCCCUGGUGUCCUGACGGUACCGGAAGAAUAAGCACCGGCUAACUUCGUGCCAGCAGCCGCGGUAAUC
rnacentral:rRNA from 1 species